rnacentral:rRNA from 1 species
UAGCAUGGAAUAAUGGAAUAGGACUUUGUUUCUAUUUUGUUGGUUAAAGGAAUAAAGUAAUGAUUAAUAGGGAUAGUUGGGGGCAUUAGUAUUCCAUAGUCAGAGGUGAAAUUCUUGGAUUUAUGAAAGACUAACUUCUGCGAAAGCAUUUGCCAAGGAUGUUUUCAUUAAUCAAGAACGAAAGUUAGGGGAUCGAAGACGAUCAGAUACCGCCGUAGUCUUAACCAUAAAUUAUGCCGACUAGGGAUCAGACAAUGUUAUUUUUUUGACUUGUUUGGCACCUUAUGAGAAAUCGAAGUUUUUGGGUUCCGGGGGGAGUAUGGUCGCAAGGCUGAAACUUAAAGGAAUUGACGGAAGGGCACCACCAGGAGUGGAGCCUGCGGCUUAAUUUGACUCAACACGGGGAAACUCACCAGGUCCAGAUGAAAUAAGGAUUGACAGAUUGAGAGCUCUUUCUUGAUUUUUCAGGUGGUGGUGCAUGGCCGUUCUUAGUUCGUGGAGUGAUUUGUCUGCUUAAUUGCGAUAACGAACGAGACCUUAACCUGCUAAAUAGCCAGGCUAGCUUUGGCUGGUCGCCGGCUUCUUAGAGGGACUAUCGGCUCAAGCCGAUGGAAGUUUGAGGCAAUAACAGGUCUGUGAUGCCCUUAGAUGUUCUGGGCCGCACGCGCGCUACACUGACAGAGCCAAUGAGUUCUUCCCUUGGCCGAAAGGUCUGGGUAAUCUUGUUAAACUCUGUCGUGCUGGGGAUAGAGCAUUGCAAU